rnacentral:rRNA from 11 species
GGACACAGUGGCGGACGGGUGAGUAACGCGUGAGAAUCUGGCUUUAGGUCUGGGACAACCACUGGAAACGGUGGCUAAUACCGGAUGUGCCCGUAAUUGGGUGAAAGGUUAACUGCCUGAAGAUGAGCUCGCGUCUGAUUAGCUAGUUGGAAGUGUAAUGGACUCCCAAGGCGACGAUCAGUAGCUGGUCUGAGAGGACGAUCAGCCACACUGGGACUGAGACACGGCCCAGACUCCUACGGGAGGCAGCAGUGGGGAAUUUUCCGCAAUGGGCGAAAGCCUGACGGAGCAAUACCGCGUGAGGGAGGAAGGCUCUUGGGUCGUAAACCUCUUUUCUCAGGGAAGAACACAAUGACGGUACCUGAGGAAUAAGCAUCGGCUAACUCCGUGCCAGCAGCCGCGGUAAUACGGAGGAUGCAAGCGUUAUCCGGAAUGAUUGGGCGUAAAGCGUCCGCAGGUGGCAAUGUAAGUCUGCUGUUAAAGAGUCUAGCUCAACUAGAUACAAGCAGUGGAAACUACAUAGCUAGAGUACGUUCGGGGCAGAGGGAAUUCCUGGUGUAGCGGUGAAAUGCGUAGAGAUCAGGAAGAACACCAGUGGCGAAGGCGCUCUGCUAGGCCGUAACUGACACUGAGGGACGAAAGCUAGGGGAGCGAAUGGGAUUAGAUACCCCAGUAGUCCUAGCCGUAAACGAUGGAUACUAGGCGUG